rnacentral:tRNA from 1 species
GGAUGAAGCUCAGCGGCAAAGUGUCUGCCUGGCAUGCACAAGGUCCUGAGUUCGAUUCUCAGUACCA